rnacentral:rRNA from 1 species
UACAGAGGCCUCGAGCGUUAGGCGGAAUCACUGGGCUUAAAGCGUGUGUAGGCGGACUUCUAAGUGCCUUGUGAAAUCCCACGGCUCACCCGUGGAACUGCUGGGCAUACUGGGAGUCUUGAGCCACCUAGGGGCGAGCGGAACAAAUGGUGGAGCGGUGAAAUGCGUAGAUAUCGGGAGGAACACCUGUGGCGAAAGCGGCGCACUGGACCACAACUGACGCUGAGGCGCGAAAGCUAGGGGAGCAAACAGG